ACUGAUGCAGACGAUAACAAUUACAUCACUUCUCCGGAUUGUGGUCCUUGCUGGUAUGAGCACAUGGCUAAUUUGCAUAAUUUUCCCAGAAGCCAAGUUGAUUGUGAGCCGCCACAUAUCCGGUGACGUCAUCAAAACUUGCUCAACGGAAUAUUUUGCAAAACAACAUGAUUUCUUUCACAAAAAACCUGCAAAAUACGUGAUACCCUGACCAGAGUGAUACCAAAUUCCGCCUACCUUUAGUAAAGAUCAUCAUGGAUGUUGACAGCGACUUUGAUUCGAAUCUGUUGCAACAAUUCAGCUCAAUGGGGACUCAAGAUAAAGACGUCCUGAUUGCUGAGUUCCAAAAACUUCUUGGGAAUCAGCUGAAUCCUGCAGGAUGUGCUUUCUUCCUAGAUAUGAACAAUUGGAACCUACAAGCUGCAAUAUGUUCGUAUUACGAGUAUGAACAACCGACAGCUGAUAAGCUACCACAGAUGACUUUUGUCAAAGACAUCACCAUUGGAGAGGGGGAGUCUGUGCCUCCAAGAACUGCUUUCACUAAAACAUGGAGAAUCAUGAACUCAGGGGAUGAAGCCUGGCCACCCGGGUGCUCUUUAAAAUUUCUUUGUGGUGACCAGUUUGGUCAUCGUGAUCGUGCCAUGGCAAAUGCCCUUCAGCCCGGAGCUGUUAUGGACAUUAGUGUAGAUAUGUCAAGUCCUGCAAAUGCGGGGAUGUUUCAAGGACAAUGGAGGAUGACUACAGCUACUGGAAUGUUCUUUGGUGACAUUAUAUGGGUGAUUCUCCAAGUGGAAGAAGGAGGCGUCUUGGGUCUUACGCAGCAAUUAUCCCAUAUAGGGAGUGAAGAGUUUAACACACAUAGUCCUCAAAAACCAGAGAAUCCAUUUGGCUCGCCAGCCACUAGAGACAUUAGCAAUCUUAGUCCAGUGAUCUCACCUAAUUAUUCGUUACUAGCUCAACACGGAAGCCCGACGGCUUCACCUCAUCAAAUCUCGUUUACUAGCACACCUGUAAGGACAGCAUUAUUUCAGGAUUCCAUAAACAAUCGGCAGUCAAAUGAUUCACAAAUGACUUCAUUUUCACUAAAUAAUUCCACUGAUCAAAACCACAUAGACACGAGUAACCAUGGUAACACAAGUAACCAAGACAUGGAUAUGCAAUCUUAGCGAUAAAAUCAUCUCGUUGUUAUAUCAAAUUAUGAUGAUGUGUUUUAUGAUGUCAUAAAGUGAUGUCAUGAAGUGGUCUGACAUCACAGUGGGAAUGUGCAGUAAUCCAUAUAUUUACUAACCAAAAUGAAAUACAAUUUGCUUGGAAAGCCGUGUCCAUUCAACAAAACCAAUUCUACGAGGAUCUGUGUGCUGUGUGUUCAUAAAGCACUUUCUCCACAAUAUAUAUCGAUGGGAUGCAUGCAGAAAAUUUGCAGGUGACGACUUAAUCUAGGAUUUCCUUUCACCUUUAGAGAUUAAAGUCUUGACCUGUGGCCUAAGACCAAAUGAAGGAACAGCCACAGACGUGAAGGAAUGGAUUGGAAAUUCAAAGAAUCUUGUCUCCGCCUUAUUUUGCCUCUAGAGGGCGGCACUGUAGUUUUCAGGGUUGAACAGCGCAUAGCUGAGAAAUGAUAACAAUGACCUCAUACUAAGGGAACAAUGGUUAUAUAAAUGGUAUUGGGUCGUAAGUUGGAAAAUGUGCAUGCGUGAAAACUACAGCGCCUCUAGCGGCAAAUAUCGGCUUAGACCAUUGGUUCAAUGGAAGUCUCCUCUCCAUUUCUUCAAGUCCAUGGAAUUAAAGACAGCAAUCAAAUUGAAAUGUUUUCUGUCUUUUUUACACAUUAUAUGAUAGAUAUCUAAAUUCAAGUAAAUAUGUUUGUUAUAAAGAGCAGUUAUAAAGCUCACUAGUAUUUUUAUUUGUCAAAGAUAAGAAUCACACAAAAUUUCAUGAUUUGAUACUUCUUAUAUUUUAUCAAAUACUGUGUAAAAAACUAAGAAUAGAGACAUAUAGUGGAAAAAAUCACAAGUAUGCCACAUUGAUGGCAUCAUGUUGGGGUCCUUUAAAGUGGCAUUUUACAUCUACGGAAACCACUAUUUUCCCAUCUGUAUGCUUGACUGAAACAUUUUUACUAAUUCCUCAUAUUUACUAAUUCAUAUUUGUACAAAAAUUGUUUCCUUGUUUUGUUAAACUAUUUGUUAUAUGUUUGCUUGCAGGUUCAGUUUUUGGCCUCCAGUCAGGCAUUUUGAGUAAAUAUUCUUUCUGAGUUUGUGAACACAGAAAAUAUUUCCUUUUUUUAGUUUUCAGGAUUCCUGGGAAUCAACUCAUUUUGAAAUUACUAAUACUUAACAAUUGUUACCGAAAAUUAAAUUCAUAGACUGUUUAUAUGGUUUAAACAUCGCUUUUUUGAGGCCAUUUCCUGAAAUUUAACGUGCUGAUCUUUAAUUCAGGAUUAGAAUUUAAACCUCGGAUACUGUGUUUUGUUGGUUAAUUGGAUGUCUACAAGCAAUCAGAAUUGAACAUUGUUUCUAUAUGAGACUAUUAUCUGGAAUUUAAGUGACAUGCUGAUCCACAGUUAGGGCUUGAAUUUCAACCUAAGAUACUCUAAGUUGCUUUAAUUUGAUGGCCAUUUUA
rnacentral:misc_RNA from 1 species